UACGGGGGGGGCAAGCGUUGUUCGGAAUUACUGGGCGUAAAGGGCUCGUAGGCGGCCAACUAAGUCAUACGUGAAAUCCCUCGGCUUGACCGGGGAACUGCGUCUGAUACUGGAUGGCUUGAGAUUGGGAGAGGGAUGCGGAAUUCCAGGUGUAGCGGUGAAAUGCGUAGAUAUCUGGAGGAACACCGGUGGCGAAGGCGGCAUCCUGGACCAACACUGACGCUGAGGAGCGAAAGCCAGGGGAGCAAACGGG
rnacentral:rRNA from 1 species